rnacentral:lncRNA from 1 species
CAUUCAUCAUAUAGUUCUUUCAUGGACGUUCUUACCUCAGAUUCUCGGACAUGUUUCAGCAUUUCCAGGCGGUGAUUUGAGAGAACCUCCAGUGUGGCAAUCUUGCGGAUUUGGCGCCAGUAAGGACCGUAAGGGCUGAAGCCAAACAUGGCGUAGUUGUAGCCCAAGAUCUCUGGUGCUAGAGCUUUUAUGCGGUUGGAAAAAACUUUAUCAUUUGUAGUGAAGCACUCUUUAGCAAUCUCCCAGUUGCUAACAAUCAAAGCUCUAUGCAUACCCAGCUUGAUCAUGAAGAUCGGACCGCACUUUUCGGCGAUGUUGCCCAAGGUGACAUAAGCUGGUUUUUGGCCCCCUAACAGGUGGAGGUGACCAAUCAAAGGCCAUGCACCACCAGGCUCCGGCACCGGUUUCUUGUCGAUUGAGUUUCUGUGCCGUCUUGAUAACCAUAGUAGAGAGUAAACAAGCAAAAACAAAGUGAAAAAGCCAGUAAUAAAAACAGUUGGUGUGAAAGGAACAUGAGUACCGUCCAUUAACCAAACUUUCUCCGAGGUUCCAAGUGGUAGAAGGAAAGUUGGAUCAAAUAAAUACAUGAGCUGUAAACCCGAUUCAAGGAUAAUUAUAUCGGUGUCUCUGGGAUAGUAAACAUAACCUAAUGGAAAAAGCUAUUUAAUUGCACAUGAUAUUUGCACACAAAAUUGGACUUGGCAAAUUGAACGAGGAAACUUGUGCACAAAAUCAAAAUUGAUAAAGUGAGUAAGUUUAUUUUUAGAUGUAAUUAAUCCCAUCUCAUCAAAUUGAUAUUGAGAAACAAAAACCUGUCUUUGUCCACACCAUAAGAAUAUGUGGAGACGAAGGCAAGAGAGUGGCUUAGCGCGCACACGCUAAUUGGUCCUAGCCAUACACAAGGGAUAAGAUUUUCAUCAUCCACGCAGUCUAGCUAGCAUGCUUAUCUCUUGCUGCAUUAGUUUGUCUCUUUUCUAGUUUCUACCACACCAUUAACGCUCGCUACCAAUGAUGUAUGUCUUCUUCAUUCUAAGAUUCAAUAUUAGCAUCAAUAUUUGGGUAACAAUAAAUAAAUAAUUAAGCUAAAAAAAGCCAAUAUGUUUAUUUUUAUAGUAAGAUGUUUCUUGUCAUUAGUUGUCAUUUGUAAAUUUUGUGUGUAAUGUCAUAUACAAAUAGCAUUAUUCUACCCUAAUUUAGAAGAAGCAAUGAUAUUUAAUUAUAUAUAUAUAUAUAUAUAUGGAGACAGAGAGAGACACACACGAUAUGAUAGAACAUACUCANNNNNNNNNNNNNNNNNNNNNNNNNNNNNNNNNNNNNNNNNNNNNNNNNNAUGUAUGUAUAGGGAGACAGAGAGAGACACACACCCGAUAUGAUAGAACAUUGACAGGCUUGCUUUACAUUUGUUUUUGUCAACUUUCUAUCAGCCUUUGAUUUCUUUAAUAUUUUUCAUUCAAAAGAUGUCCCGGCGUAGUGAGAAGAUCGAUCUAAAAUUAAAAAAUAAAAAUUCUCGAUAUUUGUAGAAAUUAAUCAUUUAUCUAUUCAUGUUUAACAGUCCAUCAAAAUCCCCCAUAUUGUUAAAAAAAAAUUAUAUAUGUUAAGCCUCGACUUUGUUUUUAUCUUCUUUUUUAUUUUAUACAAAAGAUACAAAACAUUGACAUAUUUUUUUUUUUUUUGGGGAAUAUGAGAAAAAAAUGAUUAUUUUUUUUACUGAAUCAACUGAGGAUUACAAAAACGAUAGUCAACAACCCGCAUGAUAAUAAUAUUAUAUCUUAUCUAUUCCCAAUGAUUAUAGGCUAGUUUCUAAUUUUUUUUUUGGAGCCUCUAAGUUACAAUAAUUGUAACAUACAUCCCUCAUGUGAACCACACAAAAUUGUAGGACCCACAAUUUGUGUGGUUCACAUGAGAAAUGUAUGUUACAAUUAUUAUAACUUAGCAUUUGCCUUUUUUUUUUUAUCUCCUUAAUAUCAUCUGUGUAGAUUACUUUCACGUUAUGAGUUAGAACCUAAGCAAUAGCUGAAUUUCAUUUGGCUUUAUUUCGUAUUAUUGGUUUUUGGCACCUCAGUCAUCAAGUUGUAUUUUGAUAAGUAGGGGUGGCGAAAAAACCAUUGUCUUAAAAAAAAUCAAAUUCGGGUUAGUCCGAUUAUAAAAAAUAGAAAAAACCAAUUAAUGUAUAUAAAAAAUCAAAAAUAAAAAAAUGCAAAAAAAUUACCAUUUUAAAUUAAAAAAUCGAAUCAAAUCAAACAUUGAACAAAAGCCAAACUAAUAUAAUUCCAUUGAUUUUUUGCCCAUCCCUACCGAUAAGAAUUGCUUAAUUUAUUGAGCAAAGAUAUAUGAAAAGAUCCCGAGAUUACCAGCUUGACCCAGAGGCAUCUUUUCUAUUUUAAAAUAACAUUGUGAAUGAAGAAGGUGUAAUUCAUUAGGCAAAGCUUUAUAAAAAAAGUAAAUAAUAAAUGGUGUAGGUGCCUCCAAACAAUUGAUUUCUAUUUGUUAUAUUCUCUUUAAAAACUGGUCAUCCGGAGCCAGCAAUAAGCUCAUUGCACAUGAGACGAGUGAGAAAAAUCAGUAGAAAUUUAUAAACAUACGAGUCUUUAUUUAGAGAAAUGGUAGGAAGGGUCAGUCUCCGACUUUUUGUCUUUUAACAGAAUAACAAAUUUUAUUUUAGGAUCACAAGUAAGUCCCACCUAAAAACUCAUCAAACUUAAUAUUAAGAAAUAGUUGUGAAGCCCAUUACUCACCAAAUGCUGAGGUCAAAAUUUUUUCCUUCACUAUUGAUACUAUUAUUAUUCCCUGAUACUGAAGAAAUAUUAAAAUAAAUGAUUGAUUUGAAACUUUAUUGCAUGCGUGGCAGGUCGUUUCAAACUAGGAGGUUUGUAUUUAACUAUCUGCAGUAACUAAUAAUGGGAGACUAGACAAAAUAAAAAAGAUUACAGAUCCAUAAUUAAUUAAUUACUUUACAUAACAGAUUAAAAUAAGACCGAUUUAUAUAUUCAUUUCUAAUUAACCAUUAUAUUACUAUGCACCAAAAGUCCGGCGCGGCUAUAUUUUUUAUAGUUUUUGGAGAGUGAAACUGGAAUCGGAAAAUAAUUUCAACCCAAUCAGAAUUAAUAUACUUGAUUUGCAUGGAAGAGAUGCAAUUAAUGCCACAAUAGUCAAACUUGUGCAGCACUAAAAAAUCUAAUUUUUAUAACCAUCAUGAGAUUACAACUGCAACACAGCCAUUUUUUUUUAAUUUUUUAAAAGAUUAAUUUCAAGAUUCUCAUUUGACAUAUCAAUGACAUAAUGACACCUUUUGAAAACAAAAAUUAACGAACCUCCGCUAGCAAGAUAAUAUAUUAUAUUAAAAAAGGAGAACACCUAAUGAGGGUAUAUAAUGAACUUCUCCCUCAAAAUCGUUAAAAAUUUGAAAUAAUAAACAAUGAAAAAAGGAACAGCCAUCUAAGCAAGAUGGCUUACGAGAAAUGAUAAUAAGGAAAUCCAUAAAUAUCACAAGAGCGGGCUCGGGCCAAGGUUCAAAUUUCCACCAAUUGAGCGAAGAGUGGUGAUAUAUUAUAUUCGGCCUGAUUCAUAUUAAAAAGUAUAUAUUUUAUAAUAAUAAAAUUAUUAAAUUUUUAUUUUUAGUAUUAAUUAAUACGGUUAUUUUUAAAUUAUUUUAAUAUUUUUUUAAUAAAUUUUUAUGUUAAAUUAAUUUAUAACAUGUUAAUAUUUCAGAAAUAAAGAGAGAAUUAAAACUGAAAGUAGAAAUAAAAAAGAAUUGUUAGAACCAUAUGAGAUGCAUUUUUAAAAAAAUGUAAUUACUAAAAGAUAAAUAAAUAAAGAAAGAAAGAAAAGUGAGCUAUGUAUCAUGAUAGUCAAGUGGGCACUUUGCCACUUGACUGGCACACAUUUCUAUGUAAGUAGAUAAACAAUAAAAAUAUAAAUAAUAAUAAAAUAAAAGAAAAUGAUAUGUUUGUUUUGUUGCCUAUAAAAGGCGAGGACAGGAAGAAUGAGUGGGACGUGCGGAUAAGAGGAGAAAGGCGUUGAGACUGACGUUUAAGAAAAAUGUUUUUUUCAUCUGGCUAAUUCUCUUGUAAUAUAUUUUAGAACUUUGUUAAAUAAAAUAAGUGUUGUGUUUAUUAAUAUGAGUGGUUAAAUUUUUUCAAAUGAGGUAAAAGGUGAAACUCAAGAAUUUAAAUUAUUGAAUUAAUUAUUUUCUUAAGUGAGUUUUAAAAUUUAUUUUAUUUGUUUAUAUUUUUUCUUUAUCGGUUUAUUUUAUAUCAUGUUAAUUUAUAGAUCUAGAUCUCCUAUUAUUUAUAUAGUAUUAUGACAUAAUGUCAAACACUCUAAUAUAAUUGUGGCACAUUAGAUACUUGAUUCCAUAUUUAUCCAUACAAACAGUUAGUUAAAGAUUAAAUGGCAUAAUAAUUAACUGGUAAAAUGAACACAAAAUAUAAAUAUGAGAGGAUAUUAGGAUAAUAAUUUGACAACUGAGAGUGGAUUCUAUAACCUUAGUAUCUUUCUUCAAAUUGAUCCCUAUUAAUUUCCUUUUUCUAUAAUCAAUUUUUGUGUAAUAAUUGACUACUAAAUUUUUAAAUUUCUUUUGAUUUAACUCCGUAUUUACCGAAUUAUAUUAUAAUUAAAUACUCUUAUACUUGAAAGUAAAUAACACUUUUAAGUCCUCUAAUGUCCCUCCCAGAUUAUCUCAUCAGUCCUUACUUUCAUAUUUAUCUCAUCUAUUUCUUACAUUAUCCUUAUAAAAAAAUAUUUUUUUUUAAUAUUUUUUUUACCCUCUCUCAAGCAUCACCAUCAUCCCUUCCACCAAUCUUCAUCACCAAAUUCACUGUCCAUGCUGAGAAAUAUAAUUAUAAAAACAAUGUUUUUAAUUGAAAUCAAAAUCAAAAAAUCAAAUUAAGAUUCCAAAAUAAUUGAAUCCAUGGAAAUCAAUUUGCAACUAAGACAUUGUAAUUAUCUGAAUUGAAUUUUCAACUAAUUAUCUUGAUUUUGGCAAGUGAUUUCUUUUAAAAGUCUUUUGCGCUUUUCUUAAUAAAGUGUGACGUUUGAUCACCAUUAAUGUUCACUUGUGAACUACUUUAAUUGAUCCCCUCAGUAUUAGAAGCUAAAUAACAAGGGAAGUAAUUAAGAGGGAUAAAAUUCUGAAAUUUCGUAAAAUUUCACAAUCUUUCAUGGUUAUUUGGGGUGUCUAAUUGUAAAGGCAAUCAAAAUAUGCGUUAUGGCUGAAAGUAGAUUUCUGCAGGGCUAGCUAAUCAUUGCGUGCCUGGAAAAGUCUAAAGUUCUGCUAUACUGGAAGAAAAAUACUUGGCAUGAUUGUCCUACAUUUAAUAAACGUUUUGUGAAUUUGAUGCAGAACUCCAUUCGGCUGCAUAACCUUAGGCGAUCAGUUGAUUCAUGUUCUUAAAUUUUUGUUAAUGGUAAAAUGUAUUUCAAAACCAGAGAAAAUGAGGAUGACUCCUGUUAUCUAUAGAAAUAAAGUGAAACCUCAAUGUUAACUUUAUAUAUCAUCUACUAUUCUAUUUUACUCUUGAUAUUAACAUAAAAUUUAAAUAUUUUGAAUGAAAUAAAAUGACAUAUAAAUUUAAUGACUAAAUUAAUUUAAUAAUAAAUUAUAAAGCAUGGAGAAAAAUUAGCUAACAUAAUGUUUGGCAUGAAGUUAAUAGAAAGUACAGUGACGAAGUGAAUACCCGCUGCUACAGGAACGUCAUAAAGGUUUUCUGUCUUAAGCCUUUCGUCUUCUUCGUCACCGACAAUUUGUGGCAGGCUUCCACAUUUUUCUCCAGUCCCACCUUUUAUUUUUGAAAAAAUCACAGACUGAGUGUUAAGAAGAUAGGCUUGGUAAAAUUUGGGUCUGGUCUCGGUUUUGGUGAUGCCUGGGAUUGGACUGGAUGAGUGAAAUGUAAGACCGAACUCGGGUUAAAAUUCGGUUUUUUUGGGUGCGGUCUGGGCUCGAGCUCGGCACCUUCCGGGUCCGGGUUUUGAUUCAGGCUUCUAAACCCGCAUGUGAUAACUUUAAUUUUUUUUCUUUAAUUUUUUCUCCAUUUCUCUAACAAUACAAAUUAUAAAAAAAGAAAAUAAUCAAAUAAACUCAUUCAAUCUCAUGCUUUAAAAAAGAAAAUAGUCAAAUACAAAUAUAUAACAUACUAACAAUGUAAAUUUUGCACAAAUGAUCAAUAAAAAUUAUUUCAAUCUACUUUCUAAUAUCUAAAUUCAUCAAAUUUCUAACUUAAACUCAUUCUAUCUAUAUAUAAAAAAAAUUAAAUUAAAUUCAACAACAUAAUAAUCACACAAUAAAUUUAAAUAACAUCCCGCAUAUCAUAAAUUCAUAAUUAUAUAUUUAUAUAUAAUAUAUUUAUAUUUUCUUUUUUUUUUAAUUUAUUCUGCUNNNNNNNNNNNNNNNNNNNNNNNNNNNNNNNNNNNNNNNNNNNNNNNNNNNNNNAGCAGAUAAAAUCUAGGAGGGGCUGAUCAUUUGAAAAAGGUGAGUUAUUUUUAUAUUUUUAAUUAUUAAUUGUAAUAUUAAAAUAUGGGCUAUUUUUAAAAAAAACAUUUGGUUUCCGUUAUAUUUUUUACACGAGUUUACGGGGUUAAAAAUUUGAAAUUUGUGUUUGUUCUUUGUUAUUUUUUAUUUUUUAUCAGGGAAAAAGUCCUUUUUAUCCCUAAAAUUUCAUAUAAUAGCUCAUUUCAUCCUCACUUUUUAAAUAACAGCAUAAAACAUCAUUCCGCUAACUCAUUGUUAGUUUAAUGCGUUAACUAGUAAUUCAUUGAGGGCAAAAUAUGAUUUUUUUAAUUAAAGUGGUACAAACUAUAUUAAAAUAAUUUUUUUACACAAUUAAAUAACACUACAAAAUAUGUAAAAUUCAUUAAUUUUUUCUUAAAUGAAAUCAACGAUGAAAUAGUUUGAUAAAGCCACUGAAUAAUCGUCAUAAUCAACAAAUUGUAAUUAGCACAAUAUCUUUAAAUCAUUAGAAGAAAAACUAAAAAAUACAACCAAAUUUUAUGUGCCUGCAUGUGCUGAAAAUCUUCUUAAUCUUCAACCAAUUUUUAUCUUGAGUUUUGCCACCACUCUUCUUUGACCAUUAUUGUCUCCCCAAGUCCUUACCAUUGUCUCCCUAAGUCAGAUCACAGUGCAAUUAGAGAGUAUACUUAUAUGAAUAUGAAAAUUAUGAUUAUUUUUUGUACUUAAAUCUAGGGUUUAAAAGUCUUUCAUAUCACCAAAAUAGAGAGAAGUGCAAAAUAAUUGUUUGAAAUAGACUUUUUCAUCUUUUUCAGUAUUUCCUGUUUAGUGAAAUUAGAUAAACAUCGAUUUUAAUUAUAUGUCAACUUUUAUUUAUUUUUUCUAAUUUUCUCUUUAAUGGAAAAUUCGUUUUACCCUAAAUGAAUAACUAACAAACGGCAUUUAAUUAACAGUGAGUUAAUAGAAGAAUUUUUUGAGUUAUUGUUAAAAAGUAGAAAUGAAAUAGACUAUUGCAUAAAACCCUAGGGAUGAGAAGGGUUUUUUCCCUUUUUUAUCAUAAUGUAUGUGAAAGGUUGCUAAAUGUGGUCUGAUUUUAUUAGUAUAGUGAUUUUGAACAAAAUAGAAUUUUGAAACUUAUGUUCAAAUUUAUUUUAUUUGAGGUAUUUUUUCAAUAACGAUGCUAAUUAUGUUAUAUAAAAAUAAAAUUAAAAAAGAUAAUAAUGAUGCUAGUGUCCAUUGUUACUAUGCUCAAUGUCAAACAAGGAUGUUUUUGUAAAUUUGGUUGCUAAUUUUCAUCCAUAACAUACAAUUUAUUAUUGAAUUAAUUUAAUAUUUAAGGGUAUAUAAGUCAUUUUACUUUAUUUUGGUUCUUAAAAUAUUUAAAUUUUAUGCCUAACAUCAAGUUAGGGAUAGAAUAGUAAAAUGAUAUGCUAAGUUAACACCAUUAUAACUACAAGAAGGUUCGGACCUAUUUUAAAAUAUAAGGGAGGUUUUGCUCAAUUUCGCUAAUCAAUAGGGAUGUAAUCCUCAAUUUUCUGUCAAAACCAUAAGAUAUUAUAAGCUAAUUAGAAGAAACUUAAAUCUACUAAUUGAUAUAUUAUUGGCCCUUUGAGGGUCCAACACCUCUCAAAUAUAGCUCAUGUAAUUACCAUAAUAAUAUUCAACAUUUUUUGUAACACCCCAAAUCUAACACAUGCGGAGCACGUGAAGGAGGUUACUCACAAAUCAUAAUCUUUACUCAUAAGUUUCAAACGGAAAUACCUCCAAUUCUUAUUCAAAUAAAUCCACAAAUUCAAACGUCUAAUACUAAAUAAUCUCUCCCGAGGACAUAAAAAUAAUAACAAAAGUCUCAAACUCCAAAUUACACGUUCAUAAUAGAAAUAACUAAAUAGAAACACGAGUUUAUUCCUCCUCUUAUUCAAAUGGCAAACGGAAACGGAAAAUUACUAACUCCAAAGAUAAGCGCACCUCUCAAAAGAAACUUAAUCUGUAAAAAGUAAUGACGAGGGGUGAGCCGUCAACUCGGUCAUGUAAUUAUUGGUGAAUAAAAAUAAAAAAACAACUAAAAAUAAAGAAAUGAACAAAAUUAUAAUAAUAAUAAUCCAAAAACCGAUCUAGAGUCAAUUGAUCAGUGUAUGUUUGAUUCGGAUUCAGAUUUAUUUUAGGUUAUAAUUUUUUUUAUUCUCUUAAAAUCAACAACGAACUGAAAUCAUCAACGAACUGAUUCGACGAUCACUUUUAAUUUCACCUAAAUACGAUACGUGAUGUUGGGUCAUUCAUCUCGUACUUAGUAAUUCUGAAAUAUUUUAAGUUUUUUUUAAGUUUUAUUAAUUAUUUUGUACUUGUGUAUUUUAUGAAUAUUUUUACUGAUUGUUUUAACACAUAAUGUAAUGUAAAUGGUUCAUGAUUGAUACCUAUAAGUAAAAAGAUGCUUCUAGAGCAAGACAUACAAAAAUGGUGGUAGGGUAGUUUUCCUCACCAUUGUGUAAUCACACCCAUCUACUAAGGUCAAUUAUUAAAUUUAUAUUAACUUGUUAAAGUAGUUCUAGUGGCUAAACGCGAUCAACACAAGAAAACCGCCACCCUUUGAGCAGGGCCGGCUUUAGAGUGUUUGGGGCCUUAGGCGAAAUUUUUUUAUGAGGCCUCUAUUUGUUUUGCAAUUUCAAUACUUAAAGAAAUAAAAAAAAGGCUCAAAAUUUAUUUCAUUUGUAAUUCUUGAUUUUAAAAAUAAAACCUUUAAAAAACAAGUUAAGAAGACAUUUUUUAUUCCAUUAAAGCUAUUACAAAAUAAACAAUCAAAUUAAUACGAAUAAUAUUAUUUUCAAAUAGUAUAUUUAGAAUGAUAGAAUAUAAAAAGUUGAGAUGAUAAAUUAAUGAUCAGAUAAUAGAAAUGGACUUUGUAAUUCUAUAAAUUGAUUUUUUUUUUAAAUGAACCAAUGAAUAUAAUAUUUUUCUUUCUAGAGAAGUGAGGAAGAAAUUUUUUUAUUUACUGAUUUUUGAGAUUACAAAGUUUUUAAUGGAAAUUAAAAGAAAUAGUAAAAGUCAAAUAUUCUAACAUUAAAUAAUUAAUUUUUUUGAGGAAAUUGAAAAGAUAAUUAAUUUAAUUUUUUUGAAAGACUAAUAAUGAAUGAAUUAAUGAUUAAAUAAUAUUAUUAGUUAUAUCUAUUUAACAUUAAUGUUAUCAAAUAUAGAUUUUUCAUAAAAAAUAAUUCUUAACUGUAGGAUAAUUAAUAAUUAGAGAGAUAUUAAUAAGCUUUUUGAUUUCCUAAAAUACGUAAUUUAAAAAAAUGAGAAUUAUCAAAGAAAUUUAAAAAAUGUGGCCUUAACAAAAUAUGGGGCCUUAGGCGACCGCCUUGUUCGCCUAUACCUAAAGCCACCCCUGUCCAUAUGUGUGAGAGCACACGGGAAUCACUAUUUUAAUUUAAAAUUGUCCCGAACUAAACAUAUUAUAAAAAUAUUGAAAAAAUAACACUUGAAACCACUAAUUUUUUUUCAAAAUGGACAGUUAGUCCCCAUCAUUUUAUAAAUAGACAACUUAAAUUUUCACUAGUUCAGAAAUGAUUAUCAAGAUCUCUUCUCAGAAUCUGCCACCGUUGGAGCCAAUGAAACAAAUGACUGACCCAUCAUAUCAACCAAAGAAAUAGAAAAUACCAAAAAGUUCGAAUUCACAGCUAAUAACAUUGAUUCAAUUAACAUUGACAUAAUCGGAAUAUUUCGUCUAUUAAGGAGGAUUCCCCGAAUACCUAAAAUAGAGAUAAUCAUAGAAAAUAUGAAAUAUUUGAUAGGAUCUAUUUUCAGAACGUGCAAUGUAAGAGAAAUUUAAAUGUUAUAACUUUAGUACCUCACGACAUAGCAAAUACAACUCCCUGCGCUCCAGGGUUAUAAUGACUUCCGAAACAGCUUUUGUGAUAGCAUUUAUCUCUUUGUUUUUUUGGGGUUAUUAGGGAUUUUUUUUUAAUUAUUUAAAUGGAGAUAUAAACAUUAUAUAUAGUAUAUCUUUGCGAACAUUUUGGUAUGUAAAUCUUGAUAGACAUUGUUUUUUGUAGCAUGUAGAUCUAGCUAGACAUUACUUUCACAUCGAUAUUGGUGGUAUUGUAGUAGAUCAAUGUCAUUUUUCUGGGUCAACUAGACAAAAUGCAGUAAUGGAAGCUAUAUAUCUAAUUCUAAAGGGUGGGUUCUAGCCAUAUCUCCAUUUGGGUAAGCCUUAGGAUUUGGACGUGUUUUUCGUAAUCCUAUGACAAAUGUGACAGUUAUCUUUCCUUAGUUUGUACCUUUCCUUACUUUCAAAUAUCAACGAAAGACCAUGCUAACGUUUGUCAUGGUCAUCCAUGAAUUGACUGCCAAUGAAAAUUAAACCCAUAAGUUUUUAAUUUAGUAAUUGUGUAAAGGUAUAAUUUAAUUUUUUUGAUUUAUUAUUAUUUAUUAAUCAAUAAUCGUCCAUGUGAAUUUUUACUCACAACUCACGAGAAGUUCAAAUGAUGAUCCAUUUAAAAGUUGUUGGAUUUUAACAUUUUCUAAGUUUCUUUGGAAUAGUAAAUGGUAUUUUUUCUCUUCUUCCAAUUCAAAAAUCGUAUACACAGCCUUAACGUUUAGACAACAAUGCAGUCUCAGAGCAAGCAAUAAAAGUUUAACCAUUAAUUACACUGCAUAAAUUUCCCUUCUUCAGCUAAACCACUUGCACUUUGAUCAAUUAACCUCUUAUCUUAUAAAAUAUUCUAGUACAUGUACUUAAUACUAAAUUCCCUUUUCUCGUUACUUUUCUUUAAUUUCUUAGCAACAAUUUCAAAAAAAAAAAAAAAAUCAUCGAGGACUCAACAAGCGACAAAAAGUUUUUAAUAUUUAUUAUAAUAUUUAUUUUUUAACAAUUUAUUAAAAUUCCAGGGAAUCAUUUCUUGGGCGCUAAAAUUUUGUUCACCAGCGGGUCUUCCACGAAGUGACACUUCUUCCAAUCAAAAGUUCCGAUAGCUAAACACUUUGUUACACAAUUUUAAAUUCAUCAACCAGCUUGUAACACCCCAAAUCUAACACAUGCGGAGCACGUGAAGGAGGUUACUCACAAAUCAUAAUCUUUACUCAUAAGUUUCAAACUGAAAUACCUCCAAUUCUUAUUCAAAUAAAUCCACAAAUUCAAACGUCUAAUACUAAAUAAUCUCUCCCGAGGACAUAAAAAUAAUAACAAAAGUCUCAAACUCCAAAUUACACGUUCAUAAUAGAAAUAACUAAAUAGAAACACGAGUUUAUUCCUCCUCUUAUUCAAAUGGCAAACGGAAACGGAAAAUUACUAACUCCAAAGAUAAGCGCACCUCUCAAAAGAAACUUAAUCUGUAAAAAGUAAUGACGAGGGGUGAGCCGUCAACUCGGUAAGUAAAACCAUUCUUAACACACUAUGCCUAUCGAUAUUGCAAGCCUUCUUUUAUUUAAAAAAUCUAUUGUAAUUCAUAAAUUUCAUAAAACGAUAUAUCACGAUAACAUAACGUAAAUUCUUAAUAAUUCAGAAUAUCCAAAAGUAUAUUUACUUACGAAGCAAAUCAUAUAAUACGUAUACAGAAAACAAAAGGUUAGCCAUGUCACAUAGUGUCACCUAUAGUCCCGGUGACCCGGCCAGAAACAGAAUCAGAAUAUCGUGUGCACACUCAUAACAGAAAACCCAGUACAGGUCCAGAACAGACAUAUAUCGUAUUAUACGAUCAGAAUCAGAAUCAGAAUAACUACGGACAAUGAGCCAAAACAUAAUGACUUAUACGUGGCACUUUGCACUAUAUGUGGCACUUUGCGACGCUUUGGCCUUCAAGAGGUGGCCCCCAUAUCAUCAAUAAUCGAAAUCAUACAUGGGUACAAAAUAUUUGUAUCAGAUUUAUAAAAGUUCAUAACAAUAAUUUAGGCUUGCUUAACAUUUUAAAGAUAAAAUCAUAAAAAGUUGUCAUGUCAUAAAAUCAUAAAAGGUUGUCAUGUCAUAAAAUCAUUUACAUAUUAAAAAGCAUUUAUAAAAUACUUUGUUAAAAAGAAUUUAGGUUUGAAAACAUUUACAUAAAACUAAUUUUGUUAUCAAAAUCAAUUAAUCCUUUAAGUAGUAUAAAAACAUUUAUACUUAUAAUAAUAAUAUCAAAAUACUUAUACAUAUCCAGUAUAUUAGGAAUGAAGUUACUUACCUCGACAAAUGAAUUUGAAUUAACACACCUCUAAGCUUCUAAGAGCCUCAAUCACCUUCAACACCUUAAACAAAUACAAGAUAUGACAAUUAAUAACUUAUUCUAAGAAUCUGAUUUUCUAAUUCAUACCCGUACAGGUCUGAUUCUCAGAAUUUAACUCUUAAUCUAAAACUCAGAAUGAUAUAAUAUUCUAUAGAACUAUUCUGGACAUCCAUGAGUACCCCAUGUAAAAUUUGCAAGAGGAUCCGAUAUCAAAAACAUUUUCAAAACUCGAAACUGUUUUCACAUAAUCUAAACCAAACAGAACGGGUUCUGUGAUUUUUAUAAAAUAAAAUACUAUUCAUAAAAUUAUGAAAUUAAAACUGGGAAUUCUAGAUACAUAUAUUAACCUACAUAUAAACUUUCAGAAUUUUCCGAGUUCAUUUGGUGGUACAAAUAGUCUUGUGAAUCCGAUCGCAAUGCUGGAAUCGCAGUUUUCCAGUGCAGUGGUUUCUAUUUCGAAAAUAGAUAUACAAUUGAAAACGAAGUCGAAUUUAAUGAAAUAAAAUUUACUCAAGAAGCCCUACAUGUCUAGUUUCCAGAAAUAUAAAUUUUAUAAGAAAACUCAUUCAGAAAAUAUAGGUUUAAAUUCGAGAUACUCAUACUGUCCAGAAUUAUCCUGUGCUUAAUAUGUCAAGGAUUGAUUAACUAAACUCAUAAUAAAUCAAAACCCUAAACAACGCCUAAAUACAUUCUAAAUCAUGCAUUAUGAUCUAUAACCAUCUAGAAUCAUGCCAAUAUAAACCCUAGAUAGAGUGAUUAGAAAUCUGUUGAGAAUAUGGAGAAUAACUUACCCGUCACUUUGAUUCUCUCCUAAACAAAGGUUUGAAUCCUAGGAUUUGGGUAGGAGUGUAAAGAGCAGUAAAGAAGAAGAAUAAACAUCGUGAACUUAGGGUUAUGGAAGGGAAAAAGUAUGAAUUUAUAGGGAGUCUUAAGAAACCCUAUUUAAUAAGGAAAAAUAACUCUUUUUCUAAAACUAUCUCAUAAAUAACCUCUAUUUAUAAUUUAGUAUCCCUUUCUUAAUAAGGGUUAUAGGCCACCAUAAUUUCCAAUGAAAGCCCAAUUUCCAUAAUUUAAUAUUAUGGAAAUUUGUGGUGUUACAUUUUUUUAAUAAUAUUUGAAUAGAGAGCUAUAAUUUAGUAUCCCUUUCUUAAUAAGGGUUAUAGGCCACCAUAAUUUCCAAUGAAAGCCCAAUUUCCAUAAUUUAAUAUUAUGGAAAUUUGUGGUGUUACAUUUUUUUAAUAAUAUUUGAAUAGAGAGCUAAAUCAAGGUGACUAACCAAAAUGCGAAAAAAAAAAAAAAAGCGCCCACAUAUUGCUCCAUGAUUUAAUUUACAGUAUGAUUCUACAAAAUAAGGUGUCACUUCCUGCUAAUUUAAAACUAAUAAAAUUAUUAUAAGAGUUGUAUAUUAGAUCGUAGUGAUAAGUAUUAUAAGAGGUUGUAUUACAAGUAACGACCACAAAUCUGUCUAAAGUAAUUAUUUAUUUAUAAAGUUGUCUUCUUUUGACUUUGGUAAGUUUCCCAUUAGAUUAGUUGAAAUGUUAGUUCAGACGACGGUUACUAUAUCAUCUGCCCCUAAAGCUUUGCCAUAAUCACAAGUUGGGUUAGUGGGUUCUGUUCAUGUCUUUUCUCUUAUUAUUGUAUUAAAUUUCAGCUAACACAACUCCGAGAUAAUUAUUAAUUGUGUCAAGAAUAGCAUGACCGAUUCAUUGUCCUAUCAUAAUCGCAUCAUCAUUUAACACAAUUUUAAUGUUUUAUUCAUAAAAUAUCACAUUUUUAUCAUUUUUUUUAUUACAAUUUACUUUGUUCUUAUAAUUUUACGUGGAUAAACAAGAAUACGUUCAAGUAGUGGCACAAGGCAUAUUAUCAUAUUAUAACUAAUAGUAAAGCUAGCGAAGGGGCAACCUAGGCAACAGUGGUGAAGCUAAAGGAAGGCUAAACCAGACUUUAGGUCGAGUAAGAUUUUUUAAAAAUAAUUGUUAGUUAAUUUAAAAAAAUUAUUUAUAUUAAAAAAAUUUCAAACAUAGUAAAUUAUAAACUGACAACUCAACAUUAGCAAUUACCUGCACUGUGGCUCCAUGAAUUGGAUCCACCGAAGAAGUAUGACCAUAGACAACCAGUGAGGUGAGAGUCGACUUUUGAAUCCUAUGUGAGGGUGACACUAACUUGAGGUUCUUGAGUUUAAAGAGGAACAAGGCUGCUAGUUUUGCAAAUUUGGGGGAGAUGAUGGGAAGAAAAAAUCAUCUGAUUUCAACUUUUGAGAAAUAUAAAUUUUAUUUUAAUAUUUUAAUGAGAGAGAAAGGAAGAAAGAGGGAGAUGAUAAUGAACACAUUUUUGUUGCUUUUUUAUUUUAAUGCUAUUAUGUAAAGUCGUUGGAUUUGUUUUACUACAAUUUAUUUUUAUUUUAUAGUAUAAAAUCAAAAUAUCCUUUCACUUUAAUCAAUGAACAAUAAUUAAAAAAUUUUUUGGCCCCCCUGCAAAAAUGUGCUGGCUUCGCCACUGUCUGAGCUAUUGCUCAGGCUAGUCCCAACAAAAUUUCAUGUAAAUCCAUCUAUUUUUAGUUUAUUAAAAUGUACUUAAAUAAAUUACCGCUGUCUUCCAUCUAAUUUUUUAUGUGUAAAAGAAAGAUGCUUAAAUGAAAUUAUUGAUAUUUUUUUUCUUUAAACCCUCUCUAUUAUUCGAGAAUUGUCCACUCUACUCACAUUUUGUGAGGGAUAAACUAGUUUUACUCAAUUAUUUGAUAAUUAAGGGAGGAUUGAAAUUAACCCCCAUAAUGCUUUUAUGGAGGCUCAAACCCUUGCACUCAACAUUGUAAGUGCAAGGAUUCUCCCACUAGACCAAAGGCCCAUUGGUACGUGACUGAUUUUAUGAGGAAGUGCUACUAUUUAGCUGUAUCAUCAUUUGUAGUUGUACAUUCUCAAUGAAAUUCAAGCUGAAAUGUCUAUGGCCAUGCUAAUGACCACGGCCACACCUAUUUUCAUAAUUGUCAUCACAAUAAUGUGAGAGAACAUUUGCUUUAAUAGCCAGUUUUGUACUAGUAAAAUGGGUGAUGCGAACCCUACAAUGAAACUUUGAAACCCACACUUAAUUUAUAGUUUCAACUUCCCAAGAAAGUUCUAAACAUAUUUAUGCGAAACAAAAACCUUGACCUAAUGUUUAAGAAAAUAUGAACCAGAGGUAUAGAGAAGAAUAUGGACGCCACACUCAAGAUUUAGAUGAGAAGGUGAGUGAUAAGUCUAUUUUGGAACGCUACAAGAAUAUAAAUUAUUAAUAAGUUCACUAGUUCUCAAAAGAACCAAAGAAAAAAUAAUCUUUCAAAUUCAAAAUAACAUUCAUCUCUAAUUGUCUUACAUACCAAGGUUACUGAAUUUAAAUAGGCUAAUAGAAACUCAAGAUCCUAAAAAUACAAUGAAAACAUUGGAACAACCCUCCAAAUAUAGGUUUGUCAAAAGAUGCUUCAAAAGUCUUCAUCAAUCCACCAUUAGUAAUGCUAGUCAUUGACAAACUUAAUACUAGCCUCCCAUAAUUAAUGUUAUCAUUGACAAACUUAAUGUUAGCCCACCGUCAUUGAUGGUAGACUUACCUUACACAUAGACAAACUUGAAACAAAACAAACAAAUGAAAUUGAAUAAACUAAGUAGUCGUUGGAAAUCUCAAGUCUGAACAAGCUGUAAUAAAUUGGUCAUAACUCCUUCUAGAGAACUCCAAAUCCAGCUCUGUAAAUUGCAUUGGAAAGUUAACUUAAUUAUCUUUCCAACGGUAUAUAGUUUGCAUGUUACUUCUAGCUCAAUCAAUAUCAGUGUUAUUCUAAAUUUUCCCUUUCUGCAUUUGAUCCAAAUUGUGUAUUUGGCUGCCCAAUAGCUUGAAUAAUGCCCACAAUGCCUUGUCUUCUCUCCAAGCCCAAUUCAUGAUGUCUUGUAUCUUGAAUUGCAUUUUCAGUCCAUAUUUUCUCAAUUAAUCAAUUUAAAGUAGUUUGCAUUUUUUUUGCUCUAUCUCUUAUAAUUGGGCCUCCAUAAAUGUGCAACGAUUAGUUAAAGCUUUAACAAUAUUCCCUUGAUGGUUCUCAUCAAUGGGCUUGGUGAUUUUUCAUUAAUAAUUCAUUAUUCUUUUCUCCCACAAGAAGGCAUGUAAUUAAGUUAGAAUAUUUUGUAUACUGACGGGUGCUAUAUUGUUGUUGUAGAACCAUAUUGGAAGCAUGAAAUGUUGUAAAUAUUUUUUUCCAACAUAUCCGCAUCAGUAAUAUUUUCUCCACACAAUUUUAACCGCAAGCAAUUCUGUAUAUUGCAAAAUUAUAUUCUAUUUUCAGUGCUUGGUGGAGAUGGUGACGUAGAUAAAUCAUGGCCUUGGCUCGAUCCUGAAAAGAUGAGUCAUUAUUAUUUUUUAUUGUGUCACUAAGGCCCAUAACAUCAAGAUGAAUUUCAGCAUUCAAGAUCCAGGAUAAAUAAUUCUCGCCAGAUAUAUUCAAGGUAUUAAAUUCCAAUUUUGUCAAGUAGGAUAUUACCACAAACAAAUAAACAAAUAUUAGUAUAAUAAAUAUUGAAAAGAAUGUAAAUAAGUGGCUUACUUAUAAGGAUAAUUAUAAAUAAACCUAUGGAAAUAAAAGAGUAAGGGGAUAUGAUACUUUCUGUAUCAAAGCGCAGUCGUGCUGAUAAUAUAUUAUAAAUUUAAAAGAAUAGUUUGUUACAAAUCUAGAAGCAACUCCUUUAGAAUUGGAUAAGAAACCUUAUAACAAAGUUUUAUUUAUAUUACUGCUACAUUACAAAUCUUUUCAAAGAAGAACAACACUUAGAGUCAGACAUUUUGCUCUAACUACAAAUAUAUACAAUUGGCGUCUUAGUUGAGUGGGUGACAAGAUAUGUUAUAAAACCUAAAGUUGUGAACCCACUUUCAAAAUGGUGAGUACAUUAUUAAUUACAAAUGAUGCUUCCAUUUGCUUGGUGAUUCCACAAUAAUUUAUAACACAAAUAUACAAUAGAACAACUUUAAUAUAUAAUGGUUUAAAAAUGAGUAUUGGCACAAACUCUCGAUGAAAAUGUAUAAUUAAUUUGCAACUAGAACAUUGUAAUUAUUGUUAUUUACAACGUUUAAACUAAUCUAAAGGGAACAACUCUGUCAUUAUUUACUUUAAACAAGAAAUAACACUGAACGAGUAUGAUACAGGUACAAAUUCAUUUGCAUAAAUUUAUGUCAUAUUACUUAAGUAGUUAAAUGAAAACAUCACAUGGCUUACAUAAAAUAUUUUUACUAUAUUUAAUAUUUUCAUUCAACUAUUCAUAUAAUACCACAUCGGUUUGCAUAGCUCUCAUAUUACUCUUUCUAAACAUUAUAAUUUCUAACAAACUACUAGUACUUGUACUCUUAGUGUGAGGACAUGUGGUUUGAUCUAUGCACAAUCAUUUAAUAAUCAUAUCAUAUUUAAUAAGAUAAACUCAUUUAUUCAUGUCAUAUUUAUAUAAUUGGGUUACUAUAGGACAUGUCAAAUUUUAACAGCUUUACUCUGCCCAGUAAAAUUGUAACAUCUCAAAAAUUUACCCAUGAAAACACAAGGGUAAAAUUGGAAUGAAACCUCACAUCAUUUAUUCUUAUUAAUAAACCUCAAGAUAAACAAUCAUUAUUCAUAUUCCAACUGAAUACUUACAUAAAACAUCUAAAAUAAAGUCUCCAAAGAAAAGUCUCUAAUCCAAAAAAUAAAAAGUCUAACCAAAUUUAAUCUUUAAAAAAACUCCAAAGAUCCACUAAGAAAAUUUCUCCAUCUAAGAACUCAAGCCACAUCUCUAAUCAAUCUGCAAAAUAUUGGAGACGAGGGGUGAGCCGUCAACUCAGUAAGCAAAUCCAUGCACAAUAUUUGAAAACUUUUGUCAUUUACCUUUAAACAUUUUAUAAUAAUAUCUUCAUUUAGCAUAAGGGGUGGAUUCAUGUAAAAUCAUUAAAACAUUCAUAAAAACAUUAAAACAUAAACAUUGGUAGCUCAUGCCUCGUAGUCAUCAUCAUUCAUCAUUUAUCAUUCAGGGUACUAUACCCCGCAUUAUUGUUCAUAACAUCCCUGUGCACAAGAUCAUCAUCAUACCAGCAAGUUGGCCAUAGCAUUACAUAACAUCAUAACAUUUGCAUCAUAUACAUUAUUACGAACUAUGAGCCAAAAUAUUUUUGAAUCCACCUUACAUUCUUUCAUAAAUAGUAUUUAAAGUCUUCUAAAACAUUUAAGAACUUUUCUUUGAACAUUUAAUUCUUUUAGAAAAUUCUUUAAGAAAACAUUUCGUUUAAGAAAACUAAUUUCUUAAGAAUUAAAAAAAAUUAUAUAAAUUCAUUUAAAAGUGUUUUUAUUUUACAAAAUUCAUUUAAAUAUUUUAAAAAUCAGUUUUGUAAAACUUUUCAUUCAAACAUAAAUUGCAUUUAUUAUAAAGCGCAUCAUGCAUGAAUCUACUUACCUCGAUCCGCAACAAUCAACUCAAUACCUCAAGAACAAACUAAGGAGCUCACCCACGUCCUAUAAUCAUCAUAAAAGUAUCCUUAUCAAUAUUAUCUAUAACCUUAAACGUAAUCCCAAUCAUCCUUAAAUCAUAGUCACUUAUACUAGCUCAAAACUUAUACAUAUUCUAGACUUAAACUGCUGUACGGCCAAGGCGGAUGUACGGUACAGCAGAUGUUUUUUUUUUUGUAAUUACAGAAGACACAUUCAGAAAGCAUGUAAUUAAAAUUUAUAAUUUUUGGACGCCUGAAACUAUUUUAUAAGCGUUUUAUUUCCGAGAACAUCUAAUCUGUCCAGAAAAUUCCAGAUUUGAAAAUAGAAUUUCAAAAAUUCAUAUCUUUUAGUUUACAUGCCCAAAAAUCGCGAUUCCAGUUUUUAAAGACAGAGGAAAGAUUGAAAUUUCAUUAUAAAAUCCUAACAUGGCCUGUAAUAUUCAUAAAUUAGCCCAAACUGUUACACGUAUCAGCUUCUGCAUUUCGGGAAAACAGUUUCCAGAUCUGCAGCAGCCGCAUGUUACAAUUUUUAAUAAUUUAACCAUAAUGAAUAAAAUUACGAAAUUAAACAUGCAAUCAUAUUAGACAUAGAUCUGUUGAUAAAACAAUCGCCAUAAUUUUUAAGGAUGUCUAACCUUAUGGAAAAGUUUCCAGAAGUGAGAACCGCUGCUCAAAAUCGGAAUUUUCCAGCACCAGUAACCCAACUUCGAAAAACCAUAACAAUUUGCAUACUCAGAGGAUUUCAACACAAGACCUAUCAAUGGAAAGCUUAGGAUGUCUAGUUUCAUGAUUUGUAAACGUAUUUAUGUGAUUCCAAAUAAAGAAACCGAUUUCAAGCAAAGAAUACAGAUUGUUUCAUCACAACAUUAUAAACACACAUAUAUUACCUAGAUCAUACCACAAGUAAUUAAAUGCAAACAACUAAUAAAAAUAAAUCAAAGAAAUACUUAAUACCUCAAGGCAAACGCCAAGCAAAGAGGUUAUAAAACUUUCUUUUUCUUCUCCAAAGGCUUAUGUUUUUUUUUUUUUUCUGAGGUUUGUAACGGCAUAGAAAUUAAAAGACAGCUUCCUUUUAAAAAGAUGCUUCCUCUUAAAUACUUGGUAAUUAAUAAAUACUUUUUUUAUAAAAACUAAUAACUUGCGUAACUUAUUUAAAGCAAUUUGAUAAAUUUUACUCACACACAAACACUCAAUAAUAAUUAUCCUACCUAAUUUAAUAAGGGUAAAAGAGGAAACAAAAAUAAAAGUGAGCGUUCCAAAAAUGUUCAUCAAUCACUCCUCCACUCUCUUAUACAAGGCUGAAAUUAUCUAAGAACAUAGAUGAGGUUUUUUUGCCUUUCAUCGCCAAUAGUUUUAAAAUCAUUCAAAUCGUUUGUACUUUAUUAAAGUUGUUGAGCUUGGACAGUUUUCAUCAUCUAAUUAAUAAAUUAUCAGAACGUAACAGCCUGGAAAGGCUUGGGCCUAAAAAUCUAACCCAGCCUGGCCUUGUAGCCGAAGGCUGAAAUCAAAUAAAGUUGGGCUUGAUUAUUGAGAUGGAAACAAAUUUUUAAAAUAAAAAUAUAAUUCAAUAACUCGUGUUAUAUUUUAAUGCAUGUAUAUUGAUGCAACUCCCUCAGCCCUUGAGACAAAUUUGAAACAGCCAAACCACAUUGGAGUUCGAAGCAUACAACAAUAAAUAAAACACAAAACACACAUACCAUGCCAGGACUUGUAGCAUAUCCAUGAAAUCUACUAAACAAAACAAUGUCCUGGCUCAUCACGACUUAUUAAUGAAUAGACAGCAGAAAUGGAUUAAUGCUGGAUGAUGUUUCCUCUUCUGAUUUUACCUACAUUAAGCGAAGGAAAAUAAGAAUUAGAAAUGAAAGUCUGCUUUUAAUUACAGUUCUUCUUACUAGCUACCGAUCAAUGAGUCUAUAUUAGAGACAUAAUGUUGACAUUAGAAGCAACGCAAUUGAACUCCCGUUUGUAUAACCAUUAUAAGUGUAAUUCCUCAGAUAAACCUUUAAUUUGAAUUAUAAUUCAGGGAGUUACUACGCAAAUCUACAGAGGAAAUGGAAAAGGACAUACCAAAUUAGGCAUCUAAAUGUUGAGCUAUCAGAGAAGGAGUAAAAUCUCACCUCAUCCGCUACAUCAGAUUCCAUAAGGAUACAUUUGGAUGUAAUAACGCCGCUCCAUAUCCUCAUAAGCCCUUAGCUUUUUUCUCAACUCCGGCUGAGGCCAAUGCAAUUCCAAUUUGCGUAAGCUCUCUAUGCGCCAUAGCUCUUCAGGUAGCUUUUUCAAGUAAGCACAAGGGUUGAUAAUCAAGCUUUCAAGUUUUGUCAUAGCUCUUGCCCCCAUUGUCCACUCCUCUAGCCAAAACAUUGAUUUCAGGUGCAGAAUCUUGAGCUUUGGAAAACCACCAGAGCCCACACAAGCCAGCUUUCUUCCUGAAUACGAGUUCUGCUUCAGUUUCAACACCAGAAGGUGUGGCAGCUUUUCCAGUGUCGGCAUGGGAUCCUCCUUGAGUUCAGUAUUUGAUAAGCUCAAUUGGGUCAGACUUGGAGGAAAUUGGUAUUCAGACAGGAUCAUUUGUGAGAGUUGCCACCCCUUACUUUUAUUCACCAGCUUCAAGCUUUCAAGUUUGAGUAGUUCGCGUAGGCUCUUAGACAACCCAGAUUGGUAGGAACUCAAAUCUCCAUAUAUUUUUAGAGUUUGAACAUUAGGUAGUCUGCCCAAUGUAUCUGGAGUGCAGCUACAAGGGUGUAAGGCUGAUAUGAAAAUCAGAUUUUUCAGAGAGCUGCAAUAAUUUUCUGGAGGCGCAGGGAGAGUGAUACAACCGAAGUUUAGAUGCAUUAGUUUAUGCAUGUUCCAAAUAUCUUCUGGCGUAUGAUCUAUGUAGCUGGAUGGCAUAUCUAGUGUUUGAAGGUUUAGAAGGUUACAUAGUGAUGAAGGAAGGCUUUUGAGAGAAGGGACAUCCAGCUUCAAACAUCUCAAAAGGAAUAAAUUUUCUAUUCCGGAUGGAAAUUGGUCAAGAACUAGAGAACCCAUGUUCAAUACCCUGAGUAGUUUGAACUUUUUACAAAUAUUCUCACAAUCUAAGAGGGCAGAAUGAUCGCUUUCUAAGGCAAAAUUCUGCAAAGAAUGGAGAUAUGUGUCAAUAUGCUCUAAAGAAACGAAUUUAGUCAGAUUAUUUGGAACGGAGAACCGUUUAAUAGUUCUCAAUUCCUCUACUAGACCUAAAUCAAGGACCAUGACAAAUUUCAUUUUUGCGGCCAAAACAACUAAUCCUGCCCAUACACUGCUAGGAACGGAGCAUGUUUUAAUUUUACCUCCAGCACUUCUCUUCCCCACUUUAAUUAAGCCCCGACUGAUCAGUUCCUUCAAGUACUCCUCUGCAUUUGCCUCACUGUUGUGUGCAACGAAACCUUCAGCCAUCCAUAGCUGAUACAAUUGCCUGGUUGAUAUCUCAAGGUUUCCAUAGAAGACACACAAAUAGAAACAACAAAAUUUCAAGUACAAAGGUAACUCGAAGAUAGAACAAAACAGAAGAGCUGUUGGUUCAUUCUCCAUUUCCAUCAUUUGCGAUUCUAAUGAUUUGCAUCCGCAGUAUAAUAGGAAAAAUUGCCAGCCUUCAUAUUUUAUUCUAAACAAUGGUCCUCCAACGAGCACAGAAUCACUCCCAAUCUUCUCUCCAUUCUCUAAUUCGAACGAAGUGAGGAUGUCAGGAUCAACGACCGUUAUCAGUACUCUGCUUCCAUUCUGAUAAUCUGGAAGAGCUUCUCGAAGAUCAUUCCAUAUCAUAUCGUGAUAGAUAUCAUCAAGGACAGUCAUAUACUUCUUAUUUGUCAGGUAAUCACGAAGAAUGGACUUCUUCAAUGUAUAGUCUUUACCAAUAAUUUCACUCAACCCAGAUGCAGGCAUCACUGACUUUAUUAUGUCGUCCAAUAUCUUUUUGAAAUUGUAUUGUAUGGAUACUCUAACCCAAGCUCGGCAAUCAAAAUAAAACUUGACAUGAUUACUGUUGAAAGCCUCUGCAGCAAACGCAGUCUUAUUGAAACCUCUGCUAUCAAGAAUUGCGACUACUGAAAGCUGAGGUUGUCCCUCUAUCAACAGAUCUAACAACGCCUCCUCCAUGUCCCUCUUCUCAAACCCUGGAGAUGAAGAAGACUCACUUUCUUGAUGAAUUCGAAUGAACAUGUCCCUUUCUUUACUGAGAUCAACAGUUAUCCGGUUGGGUGGAAGUUGUGCAUCCGAUUUCUAAUGUCAGAGAUUUUACUUUGAAGUCCAACAAGAGCAUCCUUAUAACUAGUGCUUUCACUUUCACUUUCACUGCUUUGCGGCUGCAUGAUGGUGGUGAAGAAUGUGUCGAUGGCUUUCUCAGACUCAUAGACAAAGUAAUUGAUGUCGUUCAGAAUGCUCAAAACGUCGGGUCUAUCGACAUCUUCUUCAACAUUCCAGAGUUGAAUCAGAAGCCGAUUGAUGUCACUUUUAUAGUCCCUCAGCAAAGUAGUAAUAAUUUCAAUCUCCGAUAGAAAAUAUUGGAGAACAGGCUUUAAAUUUGUUGAAUCAGGCAACGUUAACGCUCCGUCUUCACCUGCUAACACCCUUUUCAGCCUAUCCGAAAAUAGUAUGAGGUUCAUCUCCAUAUCUCCUUUCUCCCAGGUACUACCAAUCUGUUAUAGUUAGAGCAUUAACAAUGAACAUCAAUGAAUGUGAUAACUCAUUAUGUUAAUCAUCAGGAUCGCUUAGAUUAACAAACUUCAACUUGCAUUAUGAGAAUGUAAUUAACCAUUAUUAAUUUGCAACUAGGGCAUUAUCAAUAAUGAUUAACAUCUCAACUAAUCUAAAGGGAGACUAGCCAAAGUCAAAAGAAGAUAUAUUAUUGAUAAACCAGAUUCUUAAUUAUUUUCUCUCAUGCUGAAUAUUGCAAGCACGUCUUACAUAUCAGAAACAUUAUACAUCCAUAUUUUUCACCAAGAAUUGUAUCUCAUUAGCUUGCUGGUGAGAGACCCGUUAAUCAAAUUUAAGAUCUCUGUUUCGAAAAUCCUGUGAAACUAAAUAAAUCACCACAACUAAUGCUUAAUAUAAUACUUCUUCAUAAACAAAUGAUGCUUACAAUUCCUUCUUAUAUUGAGUAAUCCAAGAAUGAGUAAGCUUCCAAUCAUAUAUCCGUGAUAAAUUAUGGUCAACACCAAUAUAAAAGACAAGAAAAUAAAAAUUUUAAUACAGAAAAUAUAACACAUUGGAAGGUGUAUUUUUUAAUUUUUUACUUUGAUAAGACAAGAAAAUAAAAAUUUUAAUACAGAAAAUAUAACACAUUGGAAGGUGUAUUUUUAAAAAUUUUUUACUUUGAUCUUAACUUUAUGGUAAUCAAAGUAUACUUGAUUGGAAAAUUAUUCAUUCUAGAAAUAUAAUCUUUCUAAUGCGUACAUAGAAAUAAUUGACGGGAGAUCGCUUUUCGGAAUCGUUCAUUACAAAUAAGGUUGUUUCAUGAAGGCUUAAUUCUAGAACUUUUUUAGGAAAUAGAUUUCAUCAUAAAUGAGUCUACUUAACUUGAUCUGAAAAAAAUUCCUAACUUUUCAUCUAUUAAUCCUAUUUGCCAGAAGCAUAUCCUAAUAUUGGAAAUAUCAAUGGAUUUAUCACUCAUAUGCAUCAUAAAAUAAAUUUUAUCAUCUAUUAAAUCCCAAAAAAUCAAAUUCUGUAACAGAUUGUGUAUGCUUAAGAACCUUCAAAAAUUAUGUCAACAAGCUAAAAUCCAAACUCCAUAUUUUGUUACCUAUUAAACAGUUUUUUUACCAAAUGUUUCUCUAAUUAUAGAUCAGUUAAUGAGGUAAAAUUUAUGAAAAUUAGACUGAUCAGAGCUAAAUAUAUAGUUAUUGAACUCCAAAUAUUUCGUGCCCAAAAUCCCAAAGUUACACAAUAUUUAACAUUAGCAAAGAGACUGAUACAUCAAAUUCAAAAUGGAAAUGUGCAAGUCAUUGUGUAGUAAUCUAAAUUUAACUUCUGCUUUCGUAAAAUUUUCCAAAGUUAACAGUAGCAUGAAUAGUGAUCAAUCCUCAUGCUUUAUUAAGCAAAACUAAAAAGAUUUUAAAACAAAAAAAAAAUCACUUACCAAAGCAAAAAAUGCAGGCAAACGCUUGAUCUCUUUCUCUCAGUCAGUGUGUCAAUUAUGAUGAUAAUCAUGAUGACCAGUACUUUAAUUAACGAAUUGAAAUAGCAACUUUAGAUCUAAAAAUCAUGCCCAGGGUUUUUACAAGUUGCGAUAUAAAAAUGUACAUAAUCAUAAUUAAUUUCCAACUAGGAGGUUGUAAUUAACAAUCUUAUUGGACGUUUCAACUGAUCUAAUAAUGGGAGACCAGAGCAAAGUCAAAUGAAUAAUUUUAUAUAUAGCUCCAUAAUUAAUCAAUUUAAAAGAAGACCGAUUUAUAUAUUCGAAUUUUGAAAAACGUAAUUAAAAAUUUAUUGAGAUUUUAGCAUACUACAACCAUUACACGCACAAUAUUUGCAACAUAUAAAAAGGUAAUUAGGAGGUUUACCGCCACCUAUUCAGAAUUCGAACUCGGAUGACCAUCUAAAUAAAAUCAUUUGAAAACCACUCGACUACACUAUUGAGACAACAGGUAUUCAUAUAUUAUUUAUUCAAAUAAUUGAGCAUGAAGUCGAGGAGUGAGAAGGACUUGAAGUGGAGUGGCCUUUAGGUUAGUCAACCCUACUCCCUCACUCAGAUCGAGUGGUUCAGUAUCCCCCGGACCUGGAGUUGCAAAUUCAAAUCCAUGCAACAAACUAGCGAGUGUUAGUAGCAGCACUUGAAGGGCAAAAGAGAUUCCAGGGCACCCUCUUCUUCCGGAGCCAAAGGGUAUCAAUUCAAAGUUUUGUCCUCUAACAUCAAUAUCUUUGUGUGUUUUCAGAAAUCUUUCUGGUCGAAACUCAUUAGGCUCUUCCCAAACAUUUGGAUCUCGAUGAAUCUUUGCAAUGUUGACAAAAAGACGUGUGCCGGCAGGCACAUGGUAGCUGGCUAUGGUGCAGUCUUCCAUGGAUUCAUGUGGUAUAGAGAGUGGCGCAGCAGGACAUAAACGAAGAGUUUCCUUUACUAUAGCUUGUAAAUAAACUAAAUUUUUAAUAUCAGAUUCAAUCACUUGUCUUUCUCUACCAAUGUGGGUAUCUAAUUCGUUUUGGACCUUCUUCAAAACGUCAAGGUGGUUGAGUGUUAAAGUGAGAGCCCAUGUCAAUGUAAAUGUGGUGGUGUCUGUUCCUCCCAAUAUAAGAGCCUGCAUGCAAAGGCAAAGAACCAUGCCCGGCCCCAACCCAAAGUCAAUGUGAUUAUAAUGAAUGCAAAUACAAUAAAAUAUAGAAAUACAACCUAAAAUAAUACCGUGACUAAUUCAGUAAUGUGUCUUUUGAAUGUAACCUUUUUUUUUUUUUUUUGAUAAGGUCUUUUGAAUGUAACCUAAUAUUGAACAGUUGGAAAAAUCUUGGGUGAUUCGGUUUUCUUCAUUAGCUUUUUUCUUUAUGUGUCUUUCAAUUAAUUAUGAAAAUGUUCAUUCCGUUCCGGAAAAAAUAUUCUGAAUUAAAGUACUAUAGAAAAAAUGUGACUACAAUUUUUUGUAUCUAAUAGUAUAAAUUUAUAUAUGUAUGGACUACGACCUUUGGAUGGUUCCUUGUUCAAUAUUGAAAAUGUGAUAAAUCAUGUUCAACCGCCCGCAGAAACUUUAUAAAAGAUUUUAUACAUUAUAAAGCCUUCAUAAUAUUCUAAAAUAUUUUACAAUGUUGUCAUUGUGCGCGCCCGAACCUGACUCAAUCAAGAAGUGAUUUCUUAGGCAUAUAUUACACACUAUUAAUUGUGUCUAAUUAAACUAAGAGUAAUGAUACAGCCACAAACUCUUGUACAAACUUAUUUUGUACAAACUGAUGUGGCAUGAUAAGAUUGGUUGAAUUAAAUAUCACUUGGCCCACAUGAUUUGUUUUUAUUAAUUUAUAUUUUCAUUCAACCAAUCUUAUCAUGCCACGUCAGUUUGUACAAAAUAAGUUUGUACAAGAGUUUGUGGCUGUAUCAUUACUCUUAAACUAAAUUUUGUUAAUACGUACAAACACAUAUACAUAUACAUAUAUAAUUCUCUAAUGAGGAUAUCGUUAUUUUAGCAAAGUAAAGAUGUCAUUAACAGAUUAAAAUAUAUAUUUUAAUAUACUAACAAAUAAAAAAUAAUAAUCUCUAAUGUAUUAAAAUCUAUAUAUUUUUUUAUAUUUUAGUGUGCAACCUUAUUAGAUAUAUAAGAACUCUGUAUAUACACACACAUACCAGGCACGUAGCUUUGGUGAUUGUAUCGGCAUCAAAACUAGGAAGCUCUUCAGCGUCAGCAAGAGCUGAUAGCAUCACGUCCAUGAAGUCGUUCUCUUCCUUGACCACCUGAUCAUCGCUUGAAAUCCUCUUCUGCUUAUGCUCUUCUAACCAGCCUUCAAGAAUUUGGUCAAGCUCUUUCGCUGUCCUCUUCAUGCUCUUCUCAAUUCCAUCGAGAUCUAACCACCUCAAAAAUGGAACGGAAUCAGCAAUUGCAAAAGCCCCGGUUAAUUCCAUUAAUUUUCUUAUUGCCUUUCGACAUCGAUUAUUCUCUUCAUCAAUCUCUUGAUGAUUUGUUGUACCUCCUCGGACAAGUCUUUUCCCCACAACCAUUCUUGUGGCGACAUUAAAGGUCAGUGCGUUAAAUAUUUCCUUCAUCUCAACCAACGCCUUGCCAGAAUCACCUCUGAGCUUCAUCCAUUCAUCGUAUAGUUCUUUCAUGGACGUUCUCACCUCAGAUUCUCGGACGUGUUUGAGCAUUUCCAGGCGGUGAUUUGAGAGAAUCUCCAGUGUGGCAAUCUUCCGGAUUUGGCGCCAGUAAGGACCAUAAGGGCUGAAGCCAAACAUGGCGUAGUUGUAGCCCAAGAUCUCUGGUGCUAGAGCUUUUAUGCGGUUGCAAAAGACUUUAUCAUUUGUAGUGAAGCACUCUUUAGCAAUCUCCCAGUUGCUAACAAUCAAAGCUCUAUGCA